GGCCAACACAUGAAUUCGUCUUUUCCAUUGCAUUCCUUUUCUUUUUGGCAUAAUAAUGAUAAUAAAUUAAAAAACUAUAUACAGUUGUACAGCUUGCAGAGAACUUUGUUCACACAUCUGUACAGAGGAUUAACAGAAGAUACGGAAAGCAAAUCCACAUCUAGUCCUACGUUUAUACUUCACCUGUUAGCACCCUCCACGAAUUUAAUAAUUUUCAUUUACAGAAUGUACACCACAGAGUGAGAGAGAAGAUUAAAUACAACGGCAAAUAUCGUAGUUUGAAUUGCCACCCCUCUUAUUCACACCAUCACUUUACUUUCAUCGUCAAUAGGUAACGUCUUCAAUGAAAUAACACCAAGCUUUAGUUGUAGCGACACG
rnacentral:misc_RNA from 1 species